GACGAACCACACAAACGUUAUUCGGAAUUACUGGGCUUAAAGGGUGCGUAGGCGGCGCAGAAAGUAGGGUGUGAAAUCCCUCGGCUCAACCGAGGAACUGCGCCCUAAACUACUGUGCUCGAGAGAGGUAGAGGUGAGCGGAACUUAGGGUGGAGCGGUGAAAUGCGUUGAUAUCCUAAGGAACACCGGUGGCGAAAGCGGCUCACUGGACCUCUUCUGACGCUGAGGCACGAAAGCUAGGGUAGCGAACGGG
rnacentral:rRNA from 1 species